rnacentral:rRNA from 1 species
AGUGAACGCUGGCGGUAGGCCUAACACAUGCAAGUCGAACGGCAGCACAGUAAGAGCUUGCUCUUACGGGUGGCGAGUGGCGGACGGGUGAGGAAUACAUCGGAAUCUACUUUUUCGUGGGGGAUAACGUAGGGAAACUUACGCUAAUACCGCAUACGACCUACGGGUGAAAGCAGGGGAUCUUCGGACCUUGCGCGAUUGAAUGAGCCGAUGUCGGAUUAGCUAGUUGGCGGGGUAAAGGCCCACCAAGGCGACGAUCCGUAGCUGGUCUGAGAGGAUGAUCAGCCACACUGGAACUGAGACACGGUCCAGACUCCUACGGGAGGCAGCAGUGGGGAAUAUUGGAUAAUGGGCGCAAGCCUGAUCCAGCCAUACCGCGUGGGUGAAGAAGGCCUUCGGGCUGUAAAGCCCUUUUGUUGGGAAAGAAAAGCAGCAGGUUAAUACCCCGCUGUUCUGACGGUACCCAAAGAAUAAGCACCGGCUAACUUCGUG